rnacentral:lncRNA from 1 species
GACCCGUGAGGCUUGAGCUCGACCGAUUGAGAAUUUAUGUUUGAGGUUUUUGCUUGCAUUUGACAGGUUGAACCUUCGGACCAAUCCAUCUGAUGCUUUUCCUUCUCUUCGACUAGUUGAGCAUAAAUGCUCAACCAGUUCGACGUUGUUGAUCUUUGCUUCUGCCCCUCUUCUAUAGUUUGACUUAGUCAAACAGGCCAAAUCCCAAUCACUCUUGGCUCGAUUCCUCGCCUCUUCCGCCCUCUUUUGUGCUCCAUUAGAUUUAUGAACAGUUAAACACACUUGAACCAAACAACGAUUAAGUAGAACAAAUAAUAUACGCAACUGUGUUAAAGUGCGGGAGAAAUAUACCGAUAAAUAGUAAUAAAAUGCAUGAAUCAAGCUCUAACUCUUACAGCAACGACAGCACCACAAGCUCAAACACUGCAAAAAUAAAUUAGCACCAACACCCAUCCUUCAACAGGACUCCAUCAAUACUUCUAACUCUUACAGCAAGAUCAGAUAUAAAUAUGAGCCACAUACCCUUUACCCCAAGCAACUUUAUGUUUAAUCACUGCGUUGUUUUAUCGCAAUUGUAGUAGAGUUUUGAAAGAUGUAUUUGUUUCUCAUUUUUCAAACGGACCUUAGGAUAGCCAAGGAAAAUACUUCCAGUAGCCUUUCUUUUAAUUUCCUGAAUUUCCAACCCUGCCAAACCACUGAAGAAGUUGAUGAUAGAGCUGGGGUAGCCUAAACAAAACCCACGCAUUCGCACAGAUUUCUAGACUGGGAGCACUGAAAUAAGAAAGAUGGUUUGCAGAUUCAUCACCACCCCAUAAAACACACAUCUCCAUGCUUUGGAGGUCCAACAAAACUCUCAUAAGCAGAUCUGCUGUUUUUAGUUUUCCAAAUAAGCAAGCCAACCAAAACACUGCAUCCUUGGUGGGCUGCAUUUCUUCCAAACUAUAGCCAGAGACUCUGGUUUUGGGAGUCGAACCAAUUUCCCACUGAUGUGAGGGACCUUUAUCGGGAGAAACUACAAAGGGUCAUAUAUCCAGAGAAGGGGACUCCUCCCUAUUUUUAUUCAAGGGUGUAAGCAUUCGUUAGAGUAUUUAGAAGUCUAUCACCUCAACCUCUUCCCAGCUAUUCGUUUCUUCUGGACACUCUCCUCCAACUUUUUUUCACUCCAGGCUGAAUAGAUAGUCAUCUUCCUUUAGAGGUCAGUCUUGUUAACUACAAGAUCUAAUACUAGGGACACUGAAUCUUCAGAGAAGCAUCACUCCCUCACUGAUCCUCCCAGAAAUGAGACCCAUUGAGAUCUUUGAACCAUUAUGGAAAUUUGGCGCAUAAUCCUGAUUUUAUUAAUCUUACUACAGUGAUAUCAUUCCACACCUGUUCUAGUGAAACCCAUUGAGAAUCAUCACGACCAUAUUUUGCCAGUAAUAACCUUUUUGCCACAGGCCUCUCUUCAAUCCCCAUCCCCCACCACCACUUCCCCAAAAGGCAAAUUAAUCAUUCAUUACUCUAAUUCCCUAAUAUUCAAACCCCCAAAAGCUUUAUUGCAGAUACUUGUCCCAUCUACCAAAUGUAACUUCCUCUUCUUUUCACAAUACUGGUUCCCAUCCUUACCAAUGUACUCUUGAUCUAUCAAUCUCCUAAGUCAACUCUUCCUGGGUCUUGAACAAUGAAAGUAGUAUAUUGGUAGACUAUCAAGCACUGAUUUGAUUAAAGUCAUUCUUCCCCCCAGUGACAGAUACCUCGUUUUCCAAGAUGCCAGCCUUGCUCUUAUUCUGUCCAAUAUAGGUAUCCCCAUCUCUUAAUUCACAUUUUGAAAAAUAUUUAAAAUAUAUAUCAUAUAAGCUACCUUAUCACAUAAUUUGUUUCUUUCUCCAAUGACUCACAAUUCUUCCUUAAUUUGCAAUAUUUAUUUUUUCUGAAAAGAAAAAAUCACAUGCCCUCACAUAAUUUGUGGAAUUUAUCAUUUUUAAAUAAAAAAUAUAAAGUCUUUCACUCCUAAUCACUAUAAACUAGUACAUAAAUAUUGGGAAUCAGGUUAACUUAAAAGCUUGAAAUUUCAAGGAUUGACCACCCUUUUCUAUGUUUGCUUUUUUCCAAAACUGAGCUUAUGAGCUCCCAAGGAAGCCUUAAUUUAUGAGUUAAUGGCUCUCAAAAAUAUGUAUAAUUCUAGACCUAUAUAUACAACUCAUAUGGCUAUGUAUAGGGUGUGGAAAAGAAGAGAUGUAGAGUAAGGUAGAGAGAGUGUGAGUAGGGAUGACAAUUUACCCCGAACCCGACAGGUCCCGCCCCGGUCUCAAUAAACGGAGGCGGGGCGUGGGUUGGAAAAAAAAUCAAAACCCGAUUAGUAAUCGGGGCGGGUUCGGGUUUCACCCCGCCGCCCCGAACCCGCUCCGUUUAAGUGUAAAAAGUCAAAAUUAUCCCCAUUUUUUUAGAAAUAUACCGUAAUAUCCUUACAAUAUAUAUAUAUAUCAAUAAUUAUAUAUAAAAAUAUAUAUAUAUAAUUAAA